rnacentral:rRNA from 1 species
UACGUAGGGCGCAAGCGUUAUCCGGAAUUAUUGGGCGUAAAGAGCUCGUAGGCGGUCUGUCGCGUCUGCUGUGAAAACCCGAGGCUCAACCUCGGGCCUGCAGUGGGUACGGGCAGGCUAGAGUGCGGUAGGGGAGAAUGGAACUCCUGGUGUAGCGGUGGAAUGCGCAGAUAUCAGGAAGAACACCGAUGGCGAAGGCAGUUCUCUGGGCCGUAACUGACGCUGAGGAGCGAAAGCGUGGGGAGCGAACAGG